rnacentral:rRNA from 1 species
CAAGAUGAACGCUAGCGACAGGCCUAACACAUGCAAGUCGAGGGGCAGCGGAGAGGUAGCAAUACCUUUGCCGGCGACCGGCGCACGGGUGAGUAACACGUAUGCAAUCCACCUGUAACAGGGGGAUAACCCGGAGAAAUCCGGACUAAUACCCCAUAAUAUGGGCUCUCCGCAUGGAGGGUCCAUUAAAGAAAGCAAUCUUGGUUACAGACGAGCAUGCGCUCCAUUAGCCAGUUGGCGGGGUAACGGCCCACCAAGGCGACGAUGGAUAGGGGUUCUGAGAGGAAGGUCCCCCACAUUGGAACUGAGACACGGUCCAAACUCCUACGGGAGGCAGCAGUGAGGAAUAUUGGUCAAUGGUCGGCAGACUGAACCAGCCAAGUCGCGUGAGGGAAGACGGCCCUACGGGUUGUAAACCUCUUUUGUCGGAGAGUAAAGUGCGCUACGCGUAGCGUAUUGCAAGUAUCCGAAGAAAAAGCAUCGGCUAACUCCGUGCCAGCAGCCGCGGUAAUACGGAGGAUGCGAGCGUUAUCCGGAUUUAUUGGGUUUAAAGGGUGCGUAGGCGGCACGCCAAGUCAGCGGUGAAAUUUCCGGGCUCAACCCGGACUGUGCCGUUGAAACUGGCGAGCUAGAGUGCACAAGAGGCAGGCGGAAUGCGUGGUGUAGCGGUGAAAUGCAUAGAUAUCACGCAGAACCCCGAUUGCGAAGGCAGCCUGCUAGGGUGCGACAGACGCUGAGGCACGAAAGCGUGGGUAUCGAACAGGAUUAGAUACCCUGGUAGUCCACGCAGUAAACGAUGAAUACUAACUGUUUGCGAUACAAUGUAAGCGGGACAGCGAAAGCGUUAAGUA